rnacentral:tRNA from 1 species
GCCGUAGCCCAGCUGGUUAGCACGCUCGGUAGCAACCGUGAGGUCUAGGGAUCAAAUCCCGCAGGCG